UCUGGUUGAGCUUGGUCCUUCUGCACUUUCUCUUUGUAUAGUGAUAGCUUGUGUCAGCGUCUGUUUCUCCCUGAGGAUAGUCUCUGGCAGGGACCAUUCAUCUUUGUAAGCCCAGCACAGUGCCUAGCACAUAGUAAGUACUCACUGAGUAAUUUUCGAGUUGAAUGAAUUACUUUUCAAUGGGGAAUUCAUAGCCCAAGGCACUUUCCCUCCCAAGGACAUCUGUGUGGCCACAGGGGAGACCAUAACCCAACAGAGUAAAAGUCAGCAGUGGAAUUCUAGGCUAUGGGGGAAGGGAGAGCAUUUCUGGAGGGCCUCAGUAUGAGCACAACACUUGCCUGUUCCUCAGGGAUGGGAGUUGUACAGAGGCUGACAAUGACAAUGACGAUGGCAGUGAGCCCGCAGAGGAGGAUUGCAAAGUACAGGUAGUGGAAGUCCUUCAGCACUGCUGGCCUCCGGUCCACCUCCCCACAGGCUGGCGCUGGGUAUGAGAACUCCAGGAUCAUACGCAGAAGCCCCACUCCCAGGCCAAACACGAGGCCCCAGAAAGCUCCCUGUGAGAGAGGGCAGACAAGAGCUGAGGUGAGAUCCAGGUGGGAGACCCUAGGAAGGUAAAACUACUCUCUCCCCAAAUCUCUCUCCCACUGGUUUAUUGCCAUGUUGGGCAAAUCCAUCUACUAAUGGGAAAAUGAGUUCUCCAUUAAUACUGAGACUUCGUCUUGACUUAAAGGCACAGUGGAAUAGGGGCUCUAGAGUCAGGUAGACUAAGAUUUGAAUCCUGGCUCCAUUGUGAACUGACUGAACCAAUGACUCGGCCGUGCUGACUCAGAGUUUUCUUAUUGGGGGCAGUAAUUUAAAAAUUCAUAAAAUUAAAUCAGUACUAAGUUAAUUAACAGAUGGUUAAUAUUCAACUAAAAUGGAAUAAACUUUUGUAAUAAUCAGGGAAUACCAGGAUCCCCUUCCCAAACUUCUGUCAUGAUAAAUCAGAAAUCAGAAUAGAGACUUUCCUUUAGUUGCUGUUGUUUUUAAGAAAAGCUCUGGUACUUCUCAUGUCUUUCUUCUUUAUAGCUCCAUUUGGCCCUAACCUGUACCUGUUCCCAGCAUGUAAGAGUAUGGGAGAUACUGAUCCUGAUUUCAAAAACUUUGGAAUGAGCAGAAACACCCAGAGUUCAGCCAGGGCAGCUCUUUCCCAGGAUGACUGCAGCUUCCAGGGACUGCUCCUUCCUCCACGCGCUGAUCCUCUCUCCCUUACUGUGGCAUUGAUCUUGGGAAAGAAUCCCACUUAUUCACCUGACUCCUUCUCAACAAACUGUGGCUCAGACCUAAGUCCCCAAAGCAUUCUGCAUGUAUGAUUUUGCAGAUGUGUGAAGUUGUUGAUGAAAAACUUUUCUUGGAUGUGUUGGGUGCAAUAACACAUAUGACCAGUAGAUAGAGCACAAACCUCACUGAUUGAGGAAAUGGUAGCAAAACCAGUUCAUAUGCACAGAUAAGGAAUGCUUCUUUUGACAUGUCACUGCAUACCUGUCUUCUCCUCUCCUUUUCCUCCCAUUUUGCCUCUCUCAGACUCCACUAGAGCAUCAGCCCCCCAAGUAGCUUCCCUGCUGCUCAUCCCCCUCCUCUUUGCACAAUCUGUCCUGCACUCAGAUCCUGCAAUGGCCAGUCCCCUUGCCUAGGGCUGGGGGUGCACAGAUGAGCAAGCAGUAGGAAUCCAUUAGGCAGCCCUGGGCAGAAGGCAUCCUAGUGGAAAGAACAGUGAGUGCAAAGGCAGGGAGAUGUGAAAGAGCAAGCUUCCUAAAUUCAAGUACCUAUCCACAAAGUGGGAGAACUUUAGUCCAGAAAUCCAAGUUAGGGAACCUUCGAUUAUGAAGCAAAGAUCUAAAAAAGGGCCCCUUAACCUUAUGUAAACUACAAAUCUCCAGCCUAUGGAAAACCAAAAAUUUUAGCCACCAAGUUAUGCUUUUAAAAGCAUAAAACUGUUACCCACAAGAUAAAGUUCGAAUUCCUUAGCUUGGUGUCCAAGGCUCUGCAUCAUUUGGAGAGAGCCCUCCUAUGAAAAUCUCCAUUGACGCAAAUACCUUGCUGUGUUACCUGUGUUUCUACCUUCCUUAAUAAACUGUGAGCACGCUGAGGGCAGGGCCAUAUGACCCAUCCGUGGGUCCCCUGCAUGUGGGAUGUGAUGCACAGUAGAUGUUCAGAGUGAAUCUGAUGGAUCAAAUUAAUAGCAUUUUUUUUUAACCGGGCUUAACAUCCGGAGUUGGUUGGGAAUACCUUGGGUGAGCUGCUUGCUAACUUUCCAUGCACUUACACAGUUUACCUUUCAUUUCUUAAGUACUUUUUCAUCUCUCGACAACCCUGUUGAUCAAUUUCAAGAUAAAGUUACCAG
rnacentral:lncRNA from 1 species